rnacentral:rRNA from 1 species
AGCAGCCGCGGUAAUUCCAGCUCCAAUAGCGUAUAUUAAAGUUGUUGCAGUUAAAAAGCUCGUAGUUGAAUUUCGGGGUUAGUAGGUUGGUCAUGCCUCUGGUAUGUACUGGUCUCACUGAUUCCUCCUUCCUGAUGAGCCGUAAUGCCAUUAAUUUGGUGUUGCGGGGAAUUUGGACUGUUACUUUGAAAAGAUUAGAGUGUUUAAAGCAAGCUAACGCUUGAAUACAUUAGCAUGGAAUAAUGAAAUAGGACGUUCGAUCCUAUUUUGUUGGUUUCUAGGAUUGACGUAAUGAUUAAUAGGGAUAGUUGGGGGCAUUAGUAUUCAAUUGUCAGAGGUGAAAUUCUUGGAUUUAUUGAAGACUAACUACUGCGAAAGCAUUUGCCAAGGAUGUUUUCAUUAAUCAAGAACGAAAGUUAGGGGAUCGAAGACGAUCAGAUACCGUCGUAGUCUUAACCAUAAACUAUGCCGACUAGGGAUCGGAU